CUUUGGUCUCACAUUAUGAAGACUAUCUUCUUCCGAGUGAAGUCUAGUAGGCACAUCUCUAUAUCAACAACCUCACCAAUAACAUCUAUAAAACAAUUGUCCAAGACCAACAAAAUCAAAAAAGCAACUACAUAACUAACCAAUGGUUUAAACUAUAGUAGGAGGAAGCAAAGAGUAAGCUAAAAAUUACCAACUAAAAAUUCUUAGCAAUGUAACUGCUGCCCUCCUGGAGUUGAGGCUCACAUUGUGAUAUCUGAUAAUUCUUCAGAAUAGCUUGUAUUUUGUCACCCUAAUAAAAACAAAAAUAGCAUUAAGUAACAUUAAGUAACAAAAAUAGCAUCAUGUAAUACCUGCUUAUUGCAGUAUUUAGAAUUCACACUGUCAUAACAUUUCCUCUCUUAGUUUAGAAUCAAUUCAUUAGUUUUAUGCCUGGAGACAAAUUGCUCCCAUAAAAAUCUACUUCCUAAUAUUGAGAGAAUUGUUCGAAGUGUGGUUUUAUUUUCUUUUUCACUUGGUUGGAUCCAAGUCAUGCUGAUUCGAUUGGAUUAGUAAUAGGUUUUAAAUCACUUGGAAAUAUAGCAAAUUAUGUUGUCAUUGUUAUUUCUGAAUUUUCAUCAAUCAAAUACCCCCACUUAAUUUUUAAUUUAAGUAAUCCUCAACAUAUAUCAUAUAGUUACCAUGCUAAUGAAUUUAUCUAAUGCUGAAUCUGGUCUCUUCCCAUCUCAGGCUUGUGCAAAGCCUUAUGAAAUUUGCACCACCUACUUCGUUUUUAGCCUAACGGAUAGGAGAUUGAUUGUAGGGCCUAAUAAUUAACGGAUAAGAGGGUAUCUAUUUUAAGUCUCUUAUCAUCCAUAAUUUCAACUUACAACAUUCCAAGUUUAUCCAAAUAAAAAUUUACGUGCCAUGAACACAAUACUCAUAAAACCAAAACAUGAAAGUGCAAAGAAGAGAUACAAAUACAAAAAUAAGGGUACUUCAAAAGAACAUACAAGUAAAAAAUGAAAAGAAGACAUGCCAUUAACAUUUCAGAACAAAUAUACAGUUUAUUAUUCAAAUCUGUUAAAUGGGAAAAAAAUUUGGGGUUUGUGACCAAAACAUAAAGCUCAUAAUCAAACAAACAUAAAAAGAAAAAACGAAAUUGUAAAGAAGAAAUACAUACAUGAACAUAAUAAGCAAACAUCAAGAAAAAGUGCAAAAAAUAAAAAUAAAGUGUCAUUAACAUUACAAAACAAACAUACAAGUAUGAAAUCAAAAGCUUUGUAUAAAAAAGAAUCGGAAGAAAAGGAGAUGAAAAGAUGAAAACAAUAUUAACGGAAGGGGGAAAAAUUACCUUCCAAACCCAGAAACCUCAAAUGAAACCCUUACCAAAUUGUUAACAUUACAAAACAAACAUAUAGGCAUGAAAGCUACACGUGUAAUGAUUGAUGAUGAUGAUUAAAGGAGGUG
rnacentral:lncRNA from 1 species